rnacentral:rRNA from 1 species
UACGUAGGGUGCGAGCGUUAAUCGGAAUUACUGGGCGUAAAGCGUGCGCAGGCGGUUCGUGAUGUCUGGUGUGAAAGCCCCGGGCUUAACCUGGGAAUUGCAUUGGAAACUAGCGGGCUGGAGUGUGGCAGAGGGGGGUGGAAUUCCGCGUGUAGCAGUGAAAUGCGUAGAUAUCGAGAGGAACACCUGCGGCGAAGGCGGGUUGCUGGGCUGACACUGACGCUGAUGCGCGAAAGCCAGGGGAGCGAACGGG